UUGAAAGAGUUGUGAAGGCCCUUCUGAUUAAUGCUUUAGAUGAAUCUUUUUUGGGAUCAUUGUAUGGUAAGUUUAUAGAUAAAUGGAACAACUUUAUUUUUAAUUUUCCCAUUUUUUUAAACACUAUCACUUUUAAAACUUGAUUAAACAAAACUAAGGAUAACCAUUUUUAAGGCAUAAAAAUUGUUCCUUCUAGAAUGAAUUAUACCAAAAAUACAUUAAUUUUAAAAGCUUGUUAUUGUUUGUUAUUUGAGAUAUUUAGUAGAUAAGUUUGUGACAGGUCUUUGCCCUGAAAGAGUUUACAGUGAAUUUAAGGAUAUGACAUAUAAAACAGAAAGGUGCCUGAACACCCAUGUGCUCUCCUAGCUUAAGUUCUUUGAAUUUCACUGACAGUUAUAUGUUAUUUUAUACUUUUGUGCCUUUGUCCAUGCUGUUGCUGUUACUUUUUAUUUCAGAUUUUCUGAGUGUAAAAGCAUUCUACUAUGGAGGUUAUCUGUGACCCACAAAAGUGGUACUUUUCACUCUCUUAUCUCUUAUGGUAGAACUCAUCAUGUAUUUGCAACUUUUUUGUAUUCUAUUUAAAUAUAUUUUUCUUUUUUCCCCUACCAGAGUAUGAGAGGAACUAUAUAUAUACUCAUAUUUUGCACUCAGCACAGAAUUCUUUUUUUAAUAGACUAUAAGUAUGUUGUGUUGAAAACCUACCUAUGUGCCAAAAUAAGAUUUUAGUAAUAGUUUAUGGAAUAAAUAUUUAUUGAAUGCCUACUAUGGACCAGGCAUUGUUUGAGAGUAUAACUGCUAAUACCCCUAGGGGGGGAAAAUGUUUCCACAACAACUAGAAGGCCUGUGUAACUAGAGUGGGAUGAGUUGGGGGAAAGGGAGAUGAGUUCAGAAGAGUAGAUAUGGCAUAGGUGGACUCUGUAAGCCAUGUUUGUAAGGUACGGUUUGAAUUUAUAUUGACUUAAAGAAACAUGAUAAAUGUAUUAGCUAGAUUCGUUAAGAAAACAUCAGUUCCUCUCUAAACAAAUAGAAAAUAUUUUAUGAACCAAAUCAGGAAAACAGAAAUGAGUGUAACAACUAAAAGGGAAUGAAGGAAAGGACUAAUCAGAAAAUCAGUUCUGAUUUGUUGGUACAGGAGUUACCACUGGAUCAGUAGGAAGGCACCAAUGUCAGAGGGCCUUGAAAGCCUAGUCAGAACUUUUUUGAGGUUUUUUUUUUUUUUUCCUCAAGUUCAGUGGUUGAUCCAUGUUAGUUUUCUAAAGAUGAGAAUAAAAGAAGUAAUUUGGUAGGCAUUUUCACCUGGCUAUUUUUUAAGAGUAUAUUUUUAUUUUUUUAUACAUUUUAUUUUUUCAUUUAUUUUUAUGUGGUGUUAAAGAUGGAAGCCAGGACCCCACACCUGCAAGGCGAGCACUCUACCGCUAAGUCACAACCGCAGCCCCUGGCUCUUUUUUUAAUUAGAAAAUAAUGUAAAAGUUUGAUGUUUAUAAGAAGAAAAAUUGAGCCUUUUACCCUGUUUUCUUGCCCUUAUGCUUGGAUUUUUUUUUUUACCCUAUUACAUUUUAUUUUUAUAAUUCAAAGUAUUUCCAACCAACUAAUCAGCCAACCAUCCAUCUUUCUAAAACUAUGGAAAGAGAUCCUUAAAUGUACAAUUGCUUCAAUAUUGUAUGUAGAAAAAGUGAUUGUUUUAUUGUUGUUGUUGACCCCCUAAACAGAUGGCACCAGGCAAAAAUCGUAUGCACAAGAUAUGUUGACAUCUCUUCAUUAUUUGGAUAAUCGCUUUGUUCAGCCCCGCCUAGAGAGUUUAGCUUCUAGAAGUCGUUGGAAAGAGCAAUAUAAGGUAUAAUUUGUUUUUAAUCUUGGUUGGGGGGGGAUGGGACCUCUCAAGUCAGUGGGGUAUGUAGACCUCUCAAGAUUUCAAUUUCCAGUCAGAUGGAAUAGUCUUCUAAAGUAUUGGCAUUUCUCUUUUUUGGGUAAUUCUUUUCUAAAGGCUGUUAUUGUUUUAAUCAUCCACACUAUCUAAUCUGUUCAAUAAUUAGAUGGUUUUAAAUGAUAACAACUUUGGAACAUCUCUAGGGCUUAGCCUAUCUUUUAAAACCAGGAGAUUGUCUCACACAAUGUUAAUUGUUAUUUCAGAAGAGAUAGUUCUAUAGACAGAGAACUUUGAGAAACAGUGGUUUAAUUUACACUGGUUUCAGCCAGAUAUGGUGGUGCAUGCCUGUAAUCCCAGCAGCACAGAAGGCUGAGGCAGGAAGAUCUCAAGUUCAAAGCCAGCCUCAGCAAAAGUGAAGUACUAAGCAACUCAGUGAGACCCUGUCUCUAAAUAAAAUACAAAAUAGGGUUGGGGAUGUGGCUCAGUGGUUGAGUGCCCUGAGUUUGAUUGCUGGUUACCGAGCCGCCCCUCCACCCAACCCCCACCCCCCCAAAAAAAAUCUUGUUUCUUUACUGGAGGACUUUAUAGGAGCACUAACAUUUGAAUUUGUACUGUAUAUCUUCAGUGGGGAGUUUAGAAUGCAAUGCUUCCACAUUUGUGUUUUACUAUGAGGUUCCUUUGUAUGAAAUACAAAAUGGAUGUUUGAUUUUCAUGAAACAGUUUGAAAAACAUUGUCCUACAUGGUGUUUGACAUACUUGUUUAUCUUAAAUUUUGUUAUUCUACCAAUUUGGGGGAUUCACCUUUUUAAUUUAUAAGAUUUCCUGGAUUCCAUAUUAUUUUCUAGAUUUCUUGCAUAUAAUCUCUAAUAGUAGAAGAUAUACCACAUGAUUUUUCAGGGUCUUUAUAUUUCUACUUCCAAUAUUCUAUGAUCUAAUGUUUGUCAAGAAGGAAAAUGGUAGAUAAUGGAAGUUCAAGUCCCUUAAAAUACCUCUAUUACUUUAAUCAUUAGCUACCUCAUUUAUCAGAAGAUGUGGUUCCAUGCAAGGCCUGUUCAUUCUUGAAUUACAUGAUGACAAAUUUGCCAUCGAUGCUUAAGUUUCAGAGAUGGCUAUGGGAUUACAGGAUUAGGAGACUUCAAGUUAGAGGAUGGCUUGAGUUUAGGGUCAGCAUAUAUAUAUCUUUUUGAUUUGGGGUAAAGUUUUAACCUCUCUGAGCCUGUUUUAUCCUCAGAUAUGGAAAAUGUUUACCUACUUUGAAGGGAAAUAUUCACUUACUUUGAAGAUAAAAUGUAUAGCAGAGCUUUUAUAAUAUGCAUAAAAUUACUUUAAUAGAAAGAAAAUAGUAUAUAUUUCUAGAACAUUUAUCUUUUACCAAGUAAUUUACAUGGAAAGUAAACUUAUUUAAUCUUCAAAGAACCACGUAAGGAAGUCACUGUUUUUCUCCUAAAUUUUACAAAUAAAGAAACUGUAACUCAGAAAAAUUAAAUAACCUAAGAUUUUACAGCUAGUACUUUAUACAGGCCAACAUUUAAACUUAUAGUCAGACUCUUAAAACCCAUACUUUUAUGCCACAUUAUGCUUUACUAUACUAUGAUAGAUUAUAGUGAAUUUAUACCACCCCAUGCUAAAGUAACUGUCAGAUGUGCAAAAAUAUUAUAGACAGAUAAUUCAGGAAGAUCAUAAAAUGAGCUGAGUUAUACUGUAAAAGAUAAGAAAUAAUAAACAAAAUAAACAAAUAAUAAAAUCACAAUACUUUAGCCCAACAAAGUUUGUCACUUAUAUGUCCAAUGUGAGUCAUCAAGAGUUCUCUGCUCAUUGCAGUCACUCAGAAAAUCAAAAUGACAGAGCUUUCAACUCACGUUUCAUCUCAGCAUGUGUGUGCUUCCAUGAGUACCACAAACACAGGAAGGAAAGGUGGUUAGUCACGUAUUCAGUCUGAAUUUCAGCCUGUAAGUGACAGGUCAGAAAGUGUUGUGAAGUAUGAUAAAUAUGAAAGUUAAACAAAAACAAUGUUUUAAGUGUAUUAGAAACUUAAUUACCAUUGACUGGUAGAAGAUACAUAUGUAUAUUAGUAACCAUGUAAAUAUGCUCAUGAGUGCAUUUCAAAUAUUGUAGUAAAACCUAAUAUACAUUACUAAUUAGAACAGUAGUGUCUAACACAAACCUAGGUUAUAAGCAUAAUUACUCAGGUUUAAAUAACUUCACAGCUUAAGGAAGCUUAUUUUUGCACACUAAGUGUUUUCUCAGUCUUUUACUCAUUAAAUAAUUCCAACUAUUAGACUGUUCUUAUCAGUAUUGGACAAGUAAAAACCUUAGUUCCUAUGUGAUUAUUUUCAUAAGACUAUAGCAAGUAACCAUGAGAGGAUUAAAUCAUUUCUUGAAUAUUUUGUGGGAAUAUGAUAUAACUCAUAUAAUGGAGAAUGGAUUAUUUUUUUCUCAAUUUUUAUGUAGCUUAAAUUAACUCAUCUUGUUCUUAUCCUGAUUUUAUACUGCUCAUUUUUUCUUAUUUUUAAUACCUUAUUGAUGUUAAUUAGAAAUAAAAGGUAGAAAAGAAGUAAAUUAAAAUCCAUUGAGAACAAUACUUCAUACACUAAGUAGUAACUCAUAAAAGAGAUAAGAAACAUUUUUUUCCUAGUCUUGACUAUUUUUUUUAAGAGCCAGGACUAAAAAUUCAUGUUUAAGCGACUGGAAUAGUAGUAGAGCCCGUGCCUCAUAUGCAGGUAGCCCUGAGUUUGAUCCCAGUACUGAAAAAAAAAAUUAUUCUUUCAUUUAAAAUUAAUACCAACUCUGUGCUCAGUAUUAAGAAAUAUCAGUAGAUUUUGCUCUUAUAUUUUGAUUUCUAAGAUAUAUUUAAUUGGGUUAAUUCUUAUUUUAUUUUAAGCUCCCUUAUAUUUUUUAAUUGUUUUCAGGAGCGGGUAGAAAAUUAUUCUAAUGUGAGUAUCCACUGGAAGAAUCCUGAAAACUGUUCCUGUCAGGCUUGUGGAUUGCAUCGCCACUGCAGAUAUUCAGUGCAUUUAUCAGGAAAGUUGUAUAAUACCAGGACUAUGGAAACAGAUGAUUUUAUGUCACAUGAUAAACAGGUAUUUUUUAUCUUACUUUGGUUUUCAAUGCUUAGAAAUUUCAAUGCUUAUCAGUUCAUAAAUUUUCACAAAUAACCCUAAGUAAUUUUCACAUAGAGAAAAUACUAGAAGGAAAAAGAGUGCAGGUUUUUUUAAUGUGAAAAUAUGUGUUAUAUAGCAUAUUCUUUCAAAAUUCUGUGAGAUAAUAAAAUCAGUGCAUCUUUUCUAAGUAUGUACAUCACCCAAAUUUUGAGAGGAGGAGAAUACAGGAUAAAAAUGAUAAGGAAGAUUACGGGGAAGAGCAAGUACGAGUUGUCUUUGAAUCCAAAGCAGAAUUUGACUGAUGUGAAAACUUUUAUGGUAGUUAAUUCACCAAAUUGGUAGCCCACAAGUUACUAAUUGAAGGUGCCUAUUCAUCCUAUCAUAAGAGAAUUAAACUAUAACAGAAGCAUUUCAGAGUUCAGAGCAGUUACCACAUGCUUAAGUUGGUGCUGUGAAGAAUAAGUGUUUGACACACAAGAACAUAGAAUACAAUGUGAACAAAUGCUACUUCUCUUUAUUUGUUUAAUCUUACUUUAUAAGAAUACUCCAUUUAUAAAUACUACUGAUUGUGCAUAUUCUUGGAGCAUGUGUGUGUGUGUGUGUGUGUAGGAAUAGAAACCCAAAGUUGUCUCUGAAUUCUCCAAGUUAUUAAGGUGGAAAUACUAGUUAUUUGAAUUAUUCUACUAAAUUGAGUAGUAUGAUUCCUCAGUACUAUUAUGCAAUAAUUGGCCAGAUCCCUCUGGAUGCAAGAAUCAUUUGGAAAAUUUUAAUUUGUUUGGCAAGUUACUAUAAAAAUGUUUCUUUUCUUAGUAUAAUUAUACAUAUAUCCCCAUUGUUUAAAACUGGUUUAUAACUCUUUAUAAGACAAGACAUCUAGAAUCUGAGAAAAAGUGGUUUAAUACUUAAAGGACCAUUUUCUGGUGCAUAAAUCAAAGAUACUACUGUGCAUUCAUAGUCCUUGCUAUCUAUAACUAAUACUAAAGAAGAAAGUGAAGUUGGAAAAUUAAUUCCAGAGCUCUGACAUUCCUGUAAAGGAAUAAGAUUGUAUAUAAAAUGGUUGAUUGAAAUGUCUAAAGAAUAAAAUGUCUCAUGAAAUAAAAGUCGUAUAAUGAAAAAUAUUAAAGUUAAAUAGAAUUUUUAUUCUAUUUAAAGGCAUGGAAAUAAAACUAUCUGAAGAUGCCAGUUGAUAUGUCUUAAAAUAACAAAGUAUUUUUAAAUCAAAUGAUAAAAUGCAGCAUUGUCAAGGUUAUAUCAAAACUAGUAAGUUCAAGGAAAGUAAGAAUCCUAGAGGAAGAAAGGGUUUGAUAUAUAUUUUAAAAUACUAGAUGGCUACAUAUAACUAGAGUUGAAAGCUAAAUAUAGUAGUGCCUGAAAUUUGUUCUAUGCAGAGCAGGUCAAUAUAAACACAAGUUGAUAUGAUCAUGAAAUUAAUUGAAGUAUUAUUUAUAAGCAUUGAUAGACAAAAAUUAGAAAUAAUUCAAAUAAAAUAUUAAGGUAGUGUUGUGAUUAAUAGUCUGUGAUACAUCAGCAUUGCAUGAUAGAAUAUAACUAUUAAAAUAAUAUUUUGAAGGUUAUAUACUAUAGCUAAAUGAAAGUGAAAUAAUAAGCAGUGUAUAUGCUCUCUUUGCAUUAUGUAAGAAUGUAUGUAUAUAUAAAUAACUACAUGCAAACAUUAACCUAGCUAUUGUGUAUGUUAAGUGACUGGUAUUGAAAUUUUUUAAUAUUAAAUUGUUGCUUCAUUAAAUGUUUCUUCAAAAGGAAGACUCACUAAAAUUUAUUUUAUAUCCUGUUGAACUGUGGUAUCAAUGCAUUUAUGUAAAGAAAGAAAAAAGAGAAAUCAACGUAUUUAUAAUCUAGGGCAUUAAAAGACUGUGCCCACCCCCACAUCCAUCCUCAGGUGAUUUUGAAAACUAAUUCUCCAUUUUGUGGUUCUGCUUAUAGAUAUAUAAAAUCAAAACUCUAGGAUUAACUAGAGUUCUUUUUUAAGGUACAAAUAAUACUUUAAAAGAAUUCACUUAACAUUGAAUAUAUUUAAUGAUAAAACUUUUCCCCUCAAUAAAGAUUAGCUUCUUUGAAAGAAAGGAUGCUUUGAUUAAAGGUAGAAUUAAUUUGGAAGUAAUUUAGUUACAGCAGUGUAGGGUAGGGUACUGAAAUGAGAGACCUGGACCUCAAGAUUGUGGUGAAAUCUGAGGGCAUAAAUGAGAAGGAAGGAAAGAGAUGUUCAACUUGAAAAGCAUUCAGAGAACUAUAUAUUGAAUCAGUUUUCACUUUGUCCAGUCUGUCUGAAAUUCUUAAGAUGUUUAAUAUCUGAAGGGAAGAAGUAGUGAUUUUGAGAAAAGUAGCAGUGGUAAUGUGUCUAGGCAAAAUAAGCAGACCAAGAGAAAAUAGAAUCCCUUCACUGUUCUAUCACACUGUUUCUGGAAACCUAGAAACAAACUUCUUUUCUCUUUCCUUGAGAAUCCUUUUUUUUCCCCCUUUGUCCUCCGUACUUUAACUUCCACAGAGAGCUAAGCUACUCUGUAUAUAAAUGAGAACCUAGAAAAAUAUCCUCAAAACCUACCAAGUCUGCUUAAUGAAAGUUUUAUUCUUUUCCUUGCCCUAGGGUGUUAGCCUAUGUAAAUAUACAUAUCCACAUAACAUAGCUAAUAAAUUACAACUCAGAUGCUUUCUGUGUUUUGUAAUUUAGCAUCGUCUGCUUCUGGAAAAUUUGGUAACAAUUUUUAGUUCUGUUUCCAAUCUCUGGAUAUAUAUGAUCAGUCAGUUCACAUUGAUAACUGAAGUGACUCAAUUAUUUAUCAGUUCACAGAACUGUGAACCCUGUAUAGUGGAUUAGAAAUUGGGCUGGGUUUGUGGCUCAGUGGUAGAGUGCUUGCCUAGCACGUGUGAGGCACAGGGUUCAAUCCCUGGCAACACAUAAAAAUAAAUAAAAUAAAGGUAUUGUGUUUAAAAAAAAAAGAAAGAAAUCACUUAUAUAUCAUAUUGCUUAUCUGCUUUGUGAACACUCAGCACUUAUUUUUCUGUCUCUGGCAAAUAUUUUAUCCUAUCUUUCUUAUUUAAAUAGUUUUCUAUUAUAAAGAAAUAUACUGAGAUAACCAAAAUAGUUUGUGAAUAUAUUUCUGGACAUUUAAAUAAGGAAACUAUUAUAAGCACAGAUUAGAUUUACCUGUUUCAGUACUUAAUACAAAUGGAAUACUACAGUGUAAGGUAUGUUUUACUGGAUUAUUUAAUUCCUAUGGUGAAGCACAGUGGGCUGUAACAGUACACUAAACACAGAAUGAGAUAAGGGGAUAAGUUCACUUGGAAUAUUACACAUAUUAUAUGCAUCUACUGUAUUCUAUGAAAACUUAUAAGAGUAGGGCUCUUUCAUAUAAAAUGAGAUUUUUCCAUAGAGAAUGUGAUCAUAUUUGGGGGGAUAUGGCAUGAGAAUAUUCUAAAGGUAAUUCAGGAUUUUCUGACUUUUAUGAAGGUAAGUAGAAGUCAAGAGGGCAGGAAUUAAAAUGAAAAGAUGUUUUUAAAGAAUACUAAAGAAUUGAGAUAAGAAUUUUUAAACACCUUUCCUUCCCUUUUGUUCCAACUUUAAAAUCCCAUAAGAUAAAUUCUUUUUGUUUUGUGAAAAUAUAGAAUACAGUAUGAUGGAACUACACAUCUCAAUAUUAUUUGACUAUAUUUUAUUCCAGAACAUCUAUAGGAGACUUCUUUCACAAUCUACUAUAAUGGCAGAAGUAGAAACACACAGGGUACUACUAACAGUAGCCACGGCAGCUGUUGUGAUUCCUUUUUAUUUAAAGUGGGGUGUAUUGGCAAUUGAAUUGUUGAAAUGUCAUUUACCACCAGGAUUGGUUUGAUAAUAAUGCUAAAAUGGAAAAGCUACUUUAAUAAGCAAGCUGAGACAAUAAUACCUGUUUUACUUCUAAUGAUCCAAAAAAACAGGAAGGUUUUUGCAGAAGUAUGAGUGGAAAUCUGAACAUACUUUUCUUUAACUUUGGGGGAUUUUAGGAAAGGUUAUAAGGUGCCCAAAAUAUUAUCUCAACAAGAAAAUGUGUCAAAGAUCUGGAUAUUGCCAAUCAUAAUAUAACAAAUUCAUUUUUUGUAACAAAUUCUUGGCUUCUCUGUUAAAAAUCCUUAUGUGUUUUCUCCCUUGCAGUAUAGCUUCAGAAGAAAAGUUAAGUUCUUUAUCAGAAAUAAUGCAAGUUUGUAGAUAAGUAUUAAAGCUUAUUGUACUUAUACUGCACAAUCCAUUAUGUUUAAGCAUAGAGACAAAUACAUAAGUGAAUAAGACAUUUAUUUAUUCAAGUUACUCCAUGAUAAUAUUAUGAUCAUGUCAGAAUUUUGGGACCCCUUCUGAUAUUUUCUACAAUGAGUGAAAUAAUGUAGGUUAAAAUAUAUUUCAUUUGGUUAGUGCAAUGAUGCUAUCUUCCUAUUUUAGCAAUAGGUUUGUAUAACAAACUACAGGCAUUCAAAAUAUUCUGAAGGAAAAAAUGUUCUGGUUAGUUGAUUUCACAAAAAGAAAUAUUUUUAAUCAUAAAUCCUAGAAGUCCAUAAAAACUUAGAAAUUUAUAUUCUUACAGCUGGCAGACAAUAAAGUAUCAAUGCACCUUAUUAACACACUACAUUGAUUAAAGCAACAAAUAAAGCAAAAGUUAUUUUUGCUUUACAAAGUUUUGGAGUGGGGAGUAUUUAGUAAAAAAUUUCCAAUCUUAAUAUUGGUAUGGUAUAAGAGUUUGCUUCACUUUUAUAUGUUGCUUAAAUUAACAAAUGAUUGCAAAUCAAGCAUUUUUAACUCAGUUAAUAUGUACAUGUAUUACUUCCAUGUCCUUUCUUGCUUCCAUGUGUGUUCAUCUUUCUCCCUUACAAGCCAUUUCUCUCUUCCUUCCCAGACUGGGUUAAAUGUGUUUUCAAGACUUAGUUUGGGGGUAACUGAUUUGGGAACUUGUUUCUUCUCUGGGUUGGGUUAAGUGUCCCUCCUCCUCAUUAGCCUCUUGAUAACAUCUUGUAUAUAAUUCUCCCAAGACUGUAAGCUCCCUAAUAGAUAGCAUAUCUUUUUUCUCUUAUCUCCAGUGACUGGUUAUAUAAAUAAAAGAAGAAAAAGUAAUCACUAUAUAAACAAAAUAAAUAAGAAUGCAUUUUCUAGGUUCUAAUGUUAAAGAAAAUCUGAAAACAAGAAAGAUUAUAUACUCAUUACUACUAUAUUACUUCAUAGGUGAUACAGUAAUGUUUAUUUCUUGAUAUAGGUGUUUACUGUUGGCAGAAUAUGUGCUGAUCGUACCAGAAUUUAUCAUAAACUGAAACAUUUUAAGUUCAAACUCUACCAGGAAUGUUGCUCUCUUGCAAAGACAGAAGAAGUUGAGGAUGAACAGGUUAAAGAAACAGUGGAAAGAAUUUUCAGUCAGUCAAAAGAAAAUGGCUGGAUUAAAGAGGUAAGGUGAAUAUAGAAGAACCCUCUCAUUCUGUAGAUUCUAGAGCCUAAUUAUGAUCAGGAAAAACCCACAAAUUAUUAGAAGACAGUGAAAUUUAAAAGACAAUCUUUUCUUCGCCCCAUUUUUUUUGUAUUUUCUCUUCUUUCACACAUUCCUUUCAUGCUUAUCAUUACCCUACCCUGAACAGAUGUCCUGAUAUUCCAAGAAUUCACUCAGUUCAUCAGAUAAAUUUUAAUUAAUAAAAAGUUUGUCCCUUAGUGAAGGAUCUCUAUCCUUUCAUAUAUGUAUUCCAUAUAUAUGUAUCCCCUUAUUUUCUUUGACAAGGUAUAGGACUCAACUCUGCUUGUCUGCUUCCUAUUCUUUAGAACAGUUCUUGUGACCUGAGAGUGAAGAAGCACCUGGUGCCAAUCUGAGGAAAGGAUCUUCGCUGCCAGUUCUAAUACCACCCACAUCCUCUUCUUGAGGACAUGGGACUGAGCAGUGAGCAAUGUAACUGAAGAUCAAGGGGAAUGCGGAGGUUUCAGGCCAUCACACUGAUUUUGAUUUCCCCAUAUCCUGUUGAUCACUAAAUUUGAUAUCAGGAAUAGAGUGGGGUUUUGAAGAGUGCACUGGAUUCCCAAAGAUCUACUGGCAGCUCAUAGCUCUGGUCUGCUCACAGAGCUUUUAGAAUUGUUUAUAGUGCACAAAAAGAAUACUAAUAUGAUUGCAGUCUUCUAAAACAAGUCUAGUUACAUGGAUAAGUAAGAGAGAACAAACAGUAGAUUUCAGGCACCUCAGAUCAAUGGUAUAUACUUUAAAAAAAAAAAAAAACCUGCUUGAGAUCCAUUGCCUAGGCUAGAUCAUAGGGAAAUUUGUAGGUGGGAGCAAGGGUGGCAACAGAUCUUGGCAAACAAACUUCUGCAGAGGGAAAGAAAAACAAUAAAACAAAUUUCUUAGAACAUAUCAUCUUCAGUGGAGGUCUUCUAGUCUAGAGAAUGACUUCAUGGUUGGUUUCCAUUUUGACAAUAAUUUUCCCACUUCAUACCACCACCUAGUGAUCUUGCCUACCUCUGACGCCUUGAUCCUUAAGUCUUCUUUCAUUCAUUUUACUCUCUUCAUCUUUUUAUCUUUUCCUUUGCUUCUACUUUGCCUACUCCAGAUCUCCUCCCAUCCUGCUUGUGCUUUUCCAUUUGUGCUCUUCCAUAAGGGAAGAACCAUCAUUUAUCCAGUAACACAUCUUCAUUUUCCUAGAUGUUAAAUUCUUAAGUGUUUUUAUUGAUGCCUUUAGAGGUUGCCAACCCUCUAGUGAAAUUGGAAAACCUAUUGUGAUACUACAGUUAAAAAGGAUUGUGUACUAGGGAUAGAAAAAAUCACUGUGUACUUAUCAUUUAUAUUAUGUAAAAUUAUAUAUGGGAAACCUUAAAUUUCUUGAAAAAACAAAAAGCAUUUCCAAAUCAUGUACCUUCAAGAAAGCUUAACCAGGUUUGGGACAACAGAAGGGUCCUGGAAUAAGAAAUAUAUUCUUAGGGAGGAAAAUAACCAAAUCUCACAUUAGGCAUAUAGAGAAUAACAAUUAGCAUUAGGCAAUGAAGGCAUUUCAAGAUUAUACAUGUUUAGGACAAUAUAUAUAUAUAUAUUCAUAUUAAAAUAGCAAAGAGCUUCAUUUUCUUUUUGAGAUUUUUCCCUCACUUUAAAAAAAAAAUUUGUCUAUGAGAAUUUCUCCAAAGGUUUCCUAGAAACCAUGAGGUUUAUAGCCAACAUAAACCCAUAUGCAGUUUUUUGUGCUGUGAUAAAAUUUCAGAAUUUGUCAAAUUUGUUUACUCUGAUUUUAUCGCCCUCACUCUGUUUAUCCUUCUCUGUGUGAGCCUUUAUGUGACAACACUGCAUGUGUUUUGUGAUGCUUCCCUUCACUGGCUGCAAUCUUGUGGCCAUAGUUACUAUGACCCUUUAGAAUGUCUGGGCUCAGUGCAACUUGAAUGCCUAUCUCAGUGGCUAUUUCUGCUUUCACCUCCCAAUUAAACCAGAUCCUUCUUUUGCUUUAUACAAAGUAUUUGUUCCUAUCUUUCUGCUCCCAGCUUUUACCCACACUUUGCUUUUACCCUUACCUAUCCCUUCUCUUCCAAGCACUUUUCUUCCAUUACCUGAGGGUAUCUCAGUGUGUUCUCAAACACCUGCCAACUAGACUUCAUUCUUCUUGUUUUUACUCCAUAGCACUAAAUGAGGAUUAUCUGUUUCAGUCUAUUUAUACUAAAGGAAUGUAGAAGUAACUCAAAUAUAAAAAAGAAGAAGUGAUAGGAACAUUUAAUAAAACCAAAAUACAUAGCAAAUACAUAUGUCUCAUUUUUAAAUAAUAUGUGACAGGCAAAAUUCUAACAAAUGUUUUUUUUUAUUAAGAGGAAAGUUCAUAUAAUGAUGAAGUUUCCUAGGAAUUGAAAAUAAGAUUGUUGGGGUGGGGUAAUAGAUAUAUUAACACCAGGAAGUGAUGAAAGUAUGUUAUAUUAAGUCAGUUUUGCACUUGGAUCUGACAUAAUUUUCUUAUAUACAUAUAUGAAUAUUCCACAGUGAAUCUCACCAUCAUGUACAUCCACUAGUCUAGGGUCAUAAUUAGAAUAAGAUAUAUUCCAUGCUUGUAUAAUUAUAUCAAAAUGGAUUCUACUGUCAUGUAUAACUAAAAAGAGCCAAUAAAAUAAAAAAUAAAUUCUAAAUUUAUUGCAUAAAAGUUAUUAUAUAAAGAAGAACUUUAAAUUAUAACUAAAAACUCUUCCCUUUUCUUAAAUCGUUCUGAUUUCUUCUCUUUUUUCCCUACCUUUUAACUUAACUUUCCUUUUUUCCCCCCUAUCCUUUAAGAUGAUGUUUCUCAAAACAUUGCCUUUGACAGCCUAUAUCAAAAUCACCUAGUUUGUGAAAAAUAUAUAAUCUCUGGCUUCAUCUAAACUUAUUGAAUGAGAAUCCUUGAUGGUGAUAAACAUCCAAUGUUUUAAAAAUUGAGUGAUUAAGUUAUAUACAAGGACCACUACUUGAAAGGACAUAUUACAUUAGAUUAUGUCUUCAGCUUCUCAAAGCUGCUUUGACAAAUAUAUUCCAUUCUGUAGAUCUAGGCUGCUACUUCUUAGUAAAGGACUCCAAGCUCCUUUUAUUUUCUGACUGCUUUCCCACAGUCCCAACUGUUUAUAUUAGUAAGCCCAUCUGGUACUAUAAGAGAGUAGUCUUCAUUAUUAAAAUAAGAUCUAAACUCUCCAAAUGCUCAGUGAAGAAGACCUAAGGGAGCUGUAUCUUUAGGUGGAGAAAAUGGCAAAAGUAAUACCAACUGUCUUUUUCUCUGUUUCACUGUCCCUUUUGAGGUUUUUUCCAUUUUUGUCAUCAAAGCUGCUACCUUCUUGUCCCCCCUCCCCACUUUAAAUCUCAGAAACACUAUACUACUAUAAUGGUUAAAUGCAUGGAUUUAAGUAUUUGCUCUGCCAUUUACUAGCAAUAGAAUUUGGAGGUAAGUUAGUUUAUUUCUAUAAAUCUAAAGUUUCUAUAAAACAGGAAUUAAAUAAUAUGAAUUAGGAUUUUGAUUUUGGAAUUAAAUAAGUAGCACAUUUUAAACAUUUAUUAUAGGUCCUAGCAAUUAAAAAGUGAUCAAUUAAUGUUAGCUAUUAUUUGUAAUAAAAGCAAGGAGAGAUUUUGCAUCCUUUAUAUAUAUUGGAUAGAGCCAGAUACUGUGGCACACAACUGUAACCCCAGUUACUCAGGAGGCUGAAGCAGAAGGAUAGAAUGCCUGAGAUCAGCCUAGGCAAUGACCUUCUCCCAAAGUAAAAUUUUAGAAAAAGAGCUAGGGACAUAUCUUAAUGGUAGAGUGUUUGCCUAGCAUGCGUGAGGUCCUGGGUUCAGUCCCACUAUUGAAAAAAAAAAAAGAUAAAAGAUAAAUUAAAAUUUUCAGGAACAAAUUUAAUAAAUAAAAAAGAAAAACAACAUAAAAGAAAAAUAAUAAUAAUAAUAAAAGAUAAUAAUAAGAAGAUAAAUAAUAAUAAUAAGAUAAAAGCAUCAAACAACUAAACUUUUAAAGUAUACAUUUCUUAAAGUACUUUACUUAUAUCUAGUAAAACCUAUCUGAGACUAGGCCAAGAAAAUUCCUAAGUAGUCUUAUAAGUUAUUCCUCCUCUUGUUCUUUUCUUCCUCCUUUCCUGAGAAGGUGAUGUAAUCAGAGAUCUUGGGGUUAUAAAAAAAGGUUUCAUGGCCUUAUCUAGAAGGAAGAUGGACUCCUCAUAUUCCCUUCUAUAGAUCUCUACCACCACAAGGUUCUUAGAGAUCUUCUCUCAUCUUGAUAGGGAUAGACCCUCGGAGUUCAUAUCAAGAAACCAUAAGAUUACAUAACCUCCUCAACUGAAGAAAGCAUUUUGCACUCUGUAUAUCCCAAACUGAACUCAUAUAUCUCUUUUGCUCCCCCAAGCUACUUGUGAAAUGGCCCUGCUCUUUCUCCUACUCACUCACCUUGAUAUCUCAAAAUCAUCCUCGACUCCUCUCUUAACUUGUUCCACCCUGUUCCUUAUCCUCCAUCUUCAUUGCUAUCACUCAAAUUUGAGCCCUCGUGACCUAACUUGUAACCAUAGGUUCAUAAUUGGUUGUGAAAUCGUUCUAGAAUGGCUGUUUUACCAAUUUCCUUAAAAUAUACCUCAGAUCAGGUCAGUCCUCUGCUCCCAGAUCUUUAGCACCAUUCCAUGGUCUGUUAAAUUAUUAUUCCACUCCUAACAUACUUUUUAUUAUCUGACCAUAAUCUCUUUAGUUCAAUCUUAUCUCUCUCAAUUCCUUAGAGUAUAGUCAAAGCCCAUACUUCCUUAUCAAGUUACUGUUGGAUGAACAUGUUAUCUCUUGCAGAAAAAUUUGCUAACUUUUUGCCUACAAAAUCUUUGUGCCAAGGACAGCUUGAAUGUCAUUCUUUUCCAACCACUUCAGCAAACUAUGACUUCUGAACCCUCAUAACAUGUUUUUACUCCUUCAUGACACUUAUUAUGAUUGUUAAUAGUGUAGUACUACUAAGCUCUAGUCUCCAUUGGGGCAGGGAAAGUAUCUUUUCGAAACUCUGUACCUUAUAAGUCAUUAGUUUUGACAUAUAUGUCCUAUAAAUAUUUUUAAUGUUAUUAAAGUAAUUAAAUUUCUACUAUAAAUAUUAUAAUGGAAAAUUAUAAUUUGUGAGUUAUGAAAUUAAUUAUACUAUUGUUUGAUUUUUUACCAAUGCUUUCUAUGAGUUAGAUAUUUUUAUUUGAAAUUGAGUUCCUAACUAUAAUAAAAAGAUAUUUGUUCCCAAUUACUAUGAAAUGCAUUUCUGUUGUAGUUUGAAAAAUGUGUGUAGUUUGAAAAGGUCUAGCUUAUCUUCACUGCUUUGAGUUAAAUAACUAGCUUUUUCAUUGUAUAUGCAGAAAUAUGGUCAACUUGAAGAAUAUCUCAAUUUUGCGGAUUACUUUCAAGAUGAGAAGUUUGACUGAAUUGUAAUACAUUUCCUUCAGAGAAGAUUUUAUAAAUUCCUGUAAAUGUGAAGAUCAUGAACCUUGUUUCACUGUACUAUGUGGCAUUUUAUAUGUUUUUUGUGUAUCUUCAAGCAAAAUAUCUUGUUUAAAACAUGUUCAUUUAAUUUCCCAUGAAAUGGCACUCUAUAUCUGAUAAAACUUUUAUCUGCUGUACAUGGAAAACAAGCUUAAUAAUUUUUAAGCCCAUAAAUGUAUUUUUAAAGUUAUCUAACAAUGCCUUUAUUACAGAUGACUAUCAAGUGAAUGAGCUAAUCAUGUUCUGUCAGUUUAGUAGAAAUAUAUUGUAUUUUAAAAUAUUUAGCCUAACAUCUCUAUAUAUUUAAUGUUGAAUCUCUGUUUGGAUCUAUUUGUUAUCCUUUUACAGUAUUAAAUGGUUUUCUUCACUAAUAUAUUUUUUAUUACUAUCAUCUAAACUGCCAUAGAAGAAACCUCAAUGUAUCAUUCAGUAAAGUCCCCUUGCUUCAUAAUCAGACUGUAGUUUUUCUGUUCCAAAUAGAGGAGUGCUUUAUGCUUUUUCUAAAGUUUUCCUUAAAAAUGAAUUUCGGGCCUCUGAGAGUCUUUCAAACCUCACAUUCAAGAAAAAUUUCAUGAUCUGUAUUUUCAUACUUUAUGUUAUUUCUUUUUUCUAUUCAGUUUUGUGUAGAUGUUAAUGAUUAAUAUAUAUUUUAUUUUUACCCAUAACUUUCCCAAUAUAUGCGUAUAUGUUAGGGUCUGAAGAUUCCAGAGACAAGUUCAGCUAAAAAUACUUUAAAAGUAUAUUUUGGUAUCUGCAUUACUUUGCACAUCUUCAUUUUCCCAGAGUAUAAUAAACAGUUGCAGAGUGAACAAAUGGACCCUGUCUAUUCCAUCUUUAAUUCUCAAUAAUGGUAUUCUAAAAGGAUCUCUUCUACUGUGGAAUUUUAGAUUCUUUUUCUUACUGGAAGUCUUAAUUGAACCUCGCUUCAUCUAUUAAUGAGAUUCACAGCAUGGACCUCAAUGUAUGUAUAUACAUAAUAAAUAUCUACAUUUUAUUAAAUCCUUACAAGGAAGAUUAGUUCAUAUUUUCUGUAAUUCAUUUUCUGUAAUUAUCCCUAUUAUUAUUUUAAACAAAUUGGAUUUUAAAGACUCACAAAGUGGUGAGAAUACUGAU
rnacentral:lncRNA from 1 species